rnacentral:rRNA from 1 species
UACGUAGGUGGCAAGCGUUGUCCGGAAUUAUUGGGCGUAAAGCGCGCGCAGGGGGUUUCUUAAGUCUGAUGUGAAAGCCCACGGCUCAACCGUGGAGGGUCAUUGGAAACUGGGGAACUUGAGUGCAGAAGAGGAAAGUGGAAUUCCAAGUGUAGCGGUGAAAUGCGUAGAGAUUUGGAGGAACACCAGUGGCGAAGGCGACUUUCUGGUCUGUAACUGACACUGAGGCGCGAAAGCGUGGGGAGCGAACAGG